AUUGAACGCUGGCGGCAGGCCUAACACAUGCAAGUCGAACGAGUGGCGGACGGGUGAGUAAUGUCUGGGAAACUGCCUGAUGGAGGGGGAUAACUACUGGAAACGGUAGCUAAUACCGCAUACCAUACGAUGUGCCCAGAUGGGAUUAGCUAGUAGGUGGGGUAAAGGCUCACCUAGGCGACGAUCCCUAGCUGGUCUGAGAGGAUGACCAGGCAAACUAGAACUGAGACACAGUCCAGACUCCUAUGGAAGGCAACAUUGGGAAAAAUUGCACCAUGGGCGCAAGCCUGAUGCAGCCAUGCCGCGAGUAUGAAGAAGGCAUUAGGGUUGUAAAGUACUUUCAGCGGGGAGGCGUUACCCGCAGAAGAAGCGCCGGCUAACUCCUGGCCAGCCGCCGCGGUAAUAC
rnacentral:rRNA from 1 species